rnacentral:rRNA from 1 species
UACGUAGGGCGCAAGCGUUGUCCGGAUUUAUUGGGCGUAAAGAGCUCGUAGGCGGUUUGUCGCGUCUUCCGUGAAAACUGGGGGCUUAACUUCCAGCUUGCGGUGGAUGACGGGCUGACUGGAGUGGCGGCAGGGGAGACUGGAAUUCCUGGUGUAGCGGUGAAAUGCGCAGAUAUCAGGAGGAACACCGGUGGCGAAGGCGGGUCUCUGGGCCGUUACUGACGCUGAGGAGCGAAAGCGUGGGGAGCGAACAGG